rnacentral:rRNA from 1 species
GGGAGCUUGCUCCCUGAUGUUAGCGGCGGACGGGUGAGUAACACGUGGGUAACCUGCCUGUAAGACUGGGAUAACUCCGGGAAACCGGGGCUAAUACCGGAUGGUUGUUUGAACCGCAUGGUUCAGACAUAAAAGGUGGCUUCGGCUACCACUUACAGAUGGACCCGCGGCGCAUUAGCUAGUUGGUGAGGUAACGGCUCACCAAGGCAACGAUGCGUAGCCGACCUGAGAGGGUGAUCGGCCACACUGGGACUGAGACACGGCCCAGACUCCUACGGGAGGCAGCAGUAGGGAAUCUUCCGCAAUGGACGAAAGUCUGACGGAGCAACGCCGCGUGAGUGAUGAAGGUUUUCGGAUCGUAAAGCUCUGUUGUUAGGGAAGAACAAGUGCCGUUCAAAUAGGGCGGCACCUUGACGGUACCUAACCAGAAAGCCACGGCUAACUACGUGCCAGCAGCCGCGGUAAUACGUAGGUGGCAAGCGUUGUCCGGAAUUAUUGGGCGUAAAGGGCUCGCAGGCGGUUUCUUAAGUCUGAUGUGAAAGCCCCCGGCUCAACCGGGGAGGGUCAUUGGAAACUGGGGAACUUGAGUGCAGAAGAGGAGAGUGGAAUUCCACGUGUAGCGGUGAAAUGCGUA